UACGGGGGGGGCAAGCGUUGUUCGGAAUUACUGGGCGUAAAGGGCUCGUAGGCGGCCAACUAAGUCGGACGUGAAAUCCCCAGGCUCAACCUGGGAACUGCGUCCGAUACUGGAUGGCUUGAAUCCGGGAGAGGGAUGCAGAAUUCCAGGUGUAGCGGUGAAAUGCGUAGAUAUCUGGAGGAAUACCGGUGGCGAAGGCGGCAUCCUGGACCGAGAUUGACACUGAUGAGCGAAAGCUAGGGGAGCAAACGGG
rnacentral:rRNA from 1 species